rnacentral:tRNA from 1 species
ACUAUUUAGGCAGAUUAUUGUGAUAAAUUUAGAAUUUAUUUAUGGGCAACCAAAUAGUA